AUACGUAGGGGGCGAGCGUUGUCCGGAAUUACUGGGCGUAAAGGGUGCGUAGGCGGUUGAUUAAGUUGGAUGUGAAAUACCCGGGCUUAACUUGGGGGGUGCAUCCAAUACUGGUUAACUAGAGUGCAGGAGAGGGAAGCGGAAUUCCUAGUGUAGCGGUGAAAUGCGUAGAUAUUAGGAGGAACACCAGUGGCGAAGGCGGGUUUCAGGACUGUAACUGACGCUGAGGCACGAAAGCGUGUGGAGCAAACAGGAUUAGAUACCCUGGUAGUCCACGCUGUAAACGAUGAAUACUAGGUGUAGGGGGUAUCAACUCCCUCUGUGCCGCAGCAAACGCAAUAAGUAUUCCGCCUGGGGAGUACGGCCGCAAGGUUGAAACUCAAAUGAAUUGACGGGG
rnacentral:rRNA from 1 species